rnacentral:misc_RNA from 1 species
GGAUUCCCGCAACAACUUUUUCAUCAACUUGGGCUUAAUUUUUUUAACUUCAUGCAGUGGUUUGAAAUAAAAACUUUUGUAACCAAAGUUGCAAACGUUAGUCAUUCUCUAACACACAGAUAAAGGUAGGUUUAAUAUAUUGGAUACAUGUUCUACAUUGUUUUAGUUAUUUUUAAUGCAUUAGUUUUAAACAUUAAAAAAAAAAAAUCAAGAAUAUUAUUUCUGUUUUCGUUAUAGUUGAAUCCUUUUUCUUUUAGACAGAUUUUUAGCAAAGUUUGGACAACCAUCCAGUGUUACAGUGCAUGUACAUAACAUUGUUUAUGUAAAACUAGACCCCUAUAUAAUUGCACUAAAAUUAAAGUAAUCUGGUGUCAUCUGUAAUUUAUGUGCAUUUUACUUUUUAGCUCGCAUUGAUUAUGAGAAUACCGAUCAUGAUUAAAUGUAAACUAUGUCUCCAUAAUGUAAUGUUAUAAACUUGUUGAAAGCAUAUUGAAUACAAGUAUGUUACCAAUUAGUG